rnacentral:lncRNA from 1 species
GAGAGAGAGAGAGUUUACAAAGGUGAUCUUAAUUUCAAAUCAUCUCUCACAUUUUGAGAAAUUGAUUUUUCUAAAAAACAAAAAUCACUUUGCUUAGUAAAAUUAUGUUUUUUUAUCAAUGUUGGAAUUUUUUUCUAUAUUGCUUAAGAAAAUUAUCUUUCGAAUAAAAUUAUGUUUUUUAGUAAAAAAUUAUGUUUUUUGAUAAAGAGUAAUGAUCAAAUAUGGGAAUUGUUUUUCUAUUUUGCUUAACAAAAUUAUUUUUUUGAUAACAUCAUGGUUAUUUAAUAAAAUUAUAUUUUAUGAUGAAUAUGGAAAGUGGGCUUAGUAAGUUAUUUUUGCAUAAAAUUAUGGUUUUGUAAUAACAUUAUGUUUUUUGAUAAAUAUGGGAAGUGUUUUUUUAUUUUGCUUAAUAAAAUUAUUUUUUGAUCAAAUUAUUUGUUCUACUGUUUUUACUUUUUGAUAAAAUCAGUGCAGAACACAUUGAUAUGGAUAUGUUAGAUGCAUAUAAGAACAAUAGAACAUAUCAGUAUGCAGUGCAUUGAUUUUUCGUUUUGUUGCAUAUCAUAAGAUGUACUUUUUGUGACGUAUGCCUUAUUUAACUUCAUCUAAAAAGUAUUGUAUGAAUUAUGCUUUAUCUAACUAUAUGGAAGAGGUCUUUUCCAUUGCUUGUCUUAAUUAGUUGGCAUUUUUAUUGGAUUUAAUAGCAUUAUGCUACGUUUGCAGUGCAUAAACUUUUAUUCCUAAUGUAAGCGAUUUUUGUACCAAAAAAACUAGAAAGUUUUCAAUGUAAGAUUUGGGAUGAAUAUGUUAAUUCUUGGAAGAAUACGUUACAUGACAAAAAUAUCUUCAAAAAAUAUCCUAAGAUACUUUUUCAUGUAUAAGACCAUAGUAUUCAAAUAUUAAUUUAUAAAAAGUUGUUUCAAUUUUUUUUGUAAGAUAAAUAUAUGUUAUAAGAUAUUAUACACUUAAUAUAAGUAGUUCCAUUUUUUUAUAUUUUUUUUUAGAGUUUUGGACCUAUUUUUUUAAAAAAAUCUAUUUGAUUGGUUAGUCCGGUUAACUGCUCCAGUUAGUCUGGUUCCAAUUCAAACCACUUCUAGCCCUAUGUCCGGUUAAUCGUUGCCCUUCGAUUUUGCGAACACGGGUUUGGAUGGAGGCUAGCCAUCUUUUCUUUUUUUGCGGCCAUUAAAAAAUGGGACAAAUUCUAACCUUCUAAGGGGGCAACCUAAAACUUAGGUGGGGCAAAUUCUUUCUGUUAAAUUUAGGUUUAACAGAAAAAUAGUGGGUUUAACAAUAAAAACAGAGAGUAGCAGUCCAAAGGGAGAAUUGGAGCCUGCACUUUUGAGGGAGAGUUGGAUGGGGAUUAAUGCAAAGAGAGAGAAGUUUUUUUACGCCUAAAAUUACAUCUUGAUGGUGCACCUUACUUUGUUUUUUUUAAGGUUACAAUCUUUUGUAAACCAUACCCUUAUUAAAGUCUUUUUAAUUUAUUUUAAAAGAAUUCAAAUCGCGUAAGGAGCACAUGGAUUCCGCUAGUGUCCUUCUAAGGUAUCUAUUUUAAGAAAAAGGUUUAUAUAAGGGUGCAACGCUAAACAAUCAAAUUGAGAGGCAUCUCAAAAUUCAUUAAAAGAUGUUGUUUUGUUACUGGAAAACCCUCACUUCGAUCGUAUCACCUUCAAGAUGUAUGGCU